GAUGAACGCUAGCGAUAGGCUUAACACAUGCAAGUCGAGGGGCAGCACAAGGUAGCUUGCUAUCUGGGUGGCGACCGGCGCACGGGUGCGUAACGCGUAUGCAACUUGCCCUAUACAGGAGGAUAACCCGUCGAAAGACGGACUAAUACUGCGUAUGCUCACAACUUGGCAUCAAGUGGUGAGGAAAGAAAUUCGGUAUAGGAUAGGCAUGCGUCCCAUUAGCUUGUUGGUGAGUUAACGGCUCACCAAGGCAACGAUGGGUAGGGCAACGGAGAGGUUGAUCCCCCAGAGGGUUACUGGGACACGGACCAGAGUCCUACGGGCGGGAGCAGUACGGGAUAUUGGUCAAUGGGCGCGAGCCUGAACCAGCCAAGUCGCGUGAAGGAUGACUGUCUUAGGGAUUGUAAACUUCUUUUAGACGGGAAUAACAGGAGUCACGUGUGACUCCCUGAAUGUACCGGAUGAAUAAGCAUCGGCUAACUACGUG
rnacentral:rRNA from 1 species